UUCGGGAACUGGAGAGUGGCGCACGGGUGAGUAACGCGGGGGGACCUACCUCUUAGUGGGGGAUAACGGUUGGAAACGACCGCUAAUACCGCAUACGCCCUUCGGGGGAAAGAUUUAUCGCUAAGAGAUGGACCCGCGUUGGAUUAGAUAGUUGGUGAGGUAACGGCUCACCAAGUCAGCGAUCCAUAGCUGGUUUGAGAGGAUGAUCAGCCACACUGGGACUGAGACACGGCCCAGACUCCUACGGGAGGCAGCAGUGGGGAAUAUUGGACAAUGGGGGCAACCCUGAUCCAGCCAUGCCGCGUGAGUGAAGAAGGCCUUCGGGUUGUAAAGCUCUUUCAGAUGCGAAGAUGAUGACGGUAACAUCAGAAGAAGCCCCGGCUAAUUUCGUGCCAGCAGCCGCGGUAAUACGAAAGGGGCUAGCGUUGUUCGGAUUUACUGGGCGUAAAGGGCACGCAGGCGGUCUUGCCAGUCAGGGGUGAAAGCCCGAGGCUCAACCUCGGAACUGCCUCUGAUACUGCAAGACUUGAGACUAGGAGAGGGUGGUGGAAUUCCCAGUGUAGAGGUGAAAUUCGUAGAUAUUGGGAGGAACACCAGAGG
rnacentral:rRNA from 1 species